rnacentral:rRNA from 1 species
UACGUAGGGGGCUAGCGUUGUCCGGAAUCAUUGGGCGUAAAGAGCGUGUAGGCGGUCCGGUAAGUCCGCUGUGAAAGUCGGGGGCUCAACCCUCGAAUGCCGGUGGAUACUGUCGGGCUAGAGUGCGGAAGAGGCGAGUGGAAUUCCUGGUGUAGCGGUGAAAUGCGCAGAUAUCAGGAGGAACACCGGUGGCGAAGGCGGGUCUCUGGGCAUUAACUGACGCUGGAGGAGCGAAAGCAUGGGGAGCGAACAGG